rnacentral:misc_RNA from 1 species
GCAGACUUCUUCACUUGAGAACUAUGAAGUUCAUUGGAACAGAGAGACCCUGGCUGAAUUUAUAUGGAAAUAGGGUUCGGCCUGUUAGUCCCUAUGGAAGUACCAGCUGUGAACCUGUUGAUGACCCAGCCCUCAUACAUCGCUCCCUGCCAGAUGAACUGCUUAUGGAGGUUUUCGCACGAAUGGGUCCAUACAGUUUAGGAAGGGCAGCAUGUGUUUGUCGCAAGUGGAGACACAGUCUUCGUAUUCCAAGUUUUUGGCGCAAUGCAUGCCUGAAAGCAUGGCAGCUGUCCG